AAUGCCAUUGUAAUUAAUCCGAAAAAAGUCAUCGAUUUUUUCAAUCUGUAAAGAAUGGAACAUGUGCGCUUAUGAAUCAAUAUUAAUAAUUCAUUAAGGGAAUAUACGUAGAUCGUCUAAAUUUUUCAAAAUACAGAAACAUUGUUCCCUGGCAUGGAGGCUAUAUGAUUUCCGUAAGAUAAUUCGCAUGAUCCCAUCUCUGAAAUUUCUGAGUUCCGUAUUUUCAGCCUUGUUCAAGAUUU